UACGUAGGGUGCAAGCGUUAAUCGGAAUUACUGGGCGUAAAGCGUGCGCAGGCGGUGAUGUAAGACAGAUGUGAAUCCCCGGGCUCAACCUGGGAACUGCAUUUGUGACUGCAUCGCUGGAGUACGGCAGAGGGGGAUGGAAUUCCGCGUGUAGCAGUGAAAUGCGUAGAUAUGCGGAGGAACACCGAUGGCGAAGGCAAUCCCCUGGGCCUGUACUGACGCUCAUGCACGAAAGCGUGGGGAGCAAACAG
rnacentral:rRNA from 1 species